rnacentral:rRNA from 1 species
UGGGGAAUAUUGGACAAUGGGGGCAACCCUGAUCCAGCGACGCCGCGUGUGUGAAGAAGGCCUGCGGGUUGUAAAGCACUUUUAGUGGGGAUGAAAAGCACAUUGCUAAUACCAGUGUGUCUUGACCUAACCCAAAGAAAAAGCACCGGCUAACUCUGUGCCAGCAGCCGCGGUAAUACAGAGGGUGCGAGCGUUAAUCGGAAUUACUGGGCGUAAAGCGUGCGUAGGUGGUUUGUUAAGUCUAAUGUGAAAGCCCUGGGCUCAACCUGGGAAUUGCAUUGGAUACUGGCAGGCUAGAGUGCGGUAGAGGAUGGCGGAAUUCCCGGUGUAGCAGUGAAAUGCGUAGAGAUCGGGAGGAACAUCUGUGGCGAAGGCGGCCAUCUGGACCAGCACUGACACUGAGGCACGAAAGCGUGGGGAGCAAA